AGGCUCCAGUUAGGAAGCAUCCAUUUCUCCCUAAAUACAAAUUUCUCUUUAUUAUUCCAGCAGUGCUGCUCAGUUUCCUCCAGUAUGAUUAGCUAUCUUAAGUAUUCACCCUGUAUUUAUUUGAAAAGGUUCUGUUGAAGGCAUCCUUGACCUUUUAGGCCAGACAUAUAUUUCUUCUCAAACUUCUAAGGCAUUUGACCAUAAGAGAAUCCUGAUCAUCAGUAAGACAUGAAUUUGAAUCUCAAUCCCAUAACUGAAUUAUACUUUCUGAAUCUUAAGCCCGUCAUCUUUAAAAUGGGACUAUUAGAUACUACUUCACAGAGUUGUAUAGAUAAUGUGUGUAGAGCACUCAGAGUAGUACCUACAUUUGAUUAAGGGCUCUAUACUUGUGAGUUCUUCCUCCAGGCACUCUGUUGAUAUGGUGGUUCUCUAAUUGCACUGAAUAGAUUUUAAUGAUGAAUAAUCUAAAUCAUUUUAUUCCUUGUAGUGUGAGGCAGUGCCAUGUAUCCAGCAGUCAUUCAGUAAAGAUUUGUUGACACUGUGAAUAUAAAUUCAUCAUAAGGGAAUUUUGAAACAACUUUUAAAUAUCCUGCUGGGAGACAUACAUAAAAUGGGACAUUUCCCAGAAUACACAUGGCUUACUCUUUCUAGAUGUCUUCAUCCCUCUAAAAUAACAACAACAAAAAUGGCUGUUAAUGCUAUGGGCAACACAGAACAGGACUCUUGGUAAAGUGCACUUUAGUGAUUUUUCAGUUGGUCACCUACUCAUCUAGUUAAUGGUGUGAACCACGGAAAAAGCAGGAACGAAGCUCACAAAAUGUGACAGAAGUCUAAAAAAGUUAUGUGCUUUACCACGAUUGUGAAAGUAGCUUAUGUUUUACAAAAUGUGAUUUCUUAGUUAGCUAAAAGAUGCCUUCUUGGCCAAAGGGAGGUGUGGUUGGGGAGAUGACUGUGGGGGAUUUUUUUCAUAUGUUUUUCAUAUGUUUUUCAUAUGCUCAGGAGUAUCCUCUAUGGCUAGCAAGUAGGCAAGCAGUAGAACAAGCAAACAAACAAAACUCCCUGAGAGAAGGGAAGUAGAAUGUUUCUAGUAAAUUUCCUAUUAAUUAUACACCUAGGGACAUUUCAGACCAAAGCAGACAACUCUGACCUUGUACAUUUAUUUUUAAAAAUUGACAGUUAAUAGUAUAACAGUGCAAUACUGCAGUCACCAAGGUAAACAAAACAAAACAAAACAAAACUGUUACUCUUUUUAGCCACUUAUUUGGCUAAAAUGGACCGAAUAACAGCUUCAGAGGAUAAAACAGGCACUGUGGUAUAAUGAGUGUGUUAAACAACAACAACAACAAAACAAACAAACAAACAAACAAAAACUGUGUUCAAAUCAUUUGAGAAACUAACUACAAACUAAAUUAGAAAACAACUGCAAGGCCUGGCUUCUGCAUUUAAACGAUGACAGCUAUUGGGCCCUCAGAUAAGGAACUAAAAAUGAACAUUGCAGUAUCAUUAGUAAUUGUAGCAUCACAUUUCACAAAACAAGGUAAAAAAAAAAAUAGGAACUUUUAAAUCUCAUUGCCCUGAAGUCUCCACUGCAAAGGCAUUUGUUUUGCAUCAUAUCCUCAUCAAAAAAUAAGAAAGAAAAAUCAAUAGAACUGUCACUGAGUCAUCGACACUUCUUAACUGUGUUCCCUUCCAACAGAUGCAGCAUCUGCUGUUGUUUCUGAUUCUGCACUCUUGCUUGCCUCAGGAGUGAUGGUAUUUACUAGUAACUGUAGGAAUCCGAGCAGGAUCUGACUCAGUGUCACAGAGGCCAAUAUAUCAUGCACCCCGUCGGUAAGGAGAAACUGCCAAAUAAAUGUUCUUAAUUCACAAUGGACAGAUUAUGAAACUGAAACACAAGCACUAGCACAGAAGCUGUGUAGGAGGAAAAGGGAGAAAGGAAUGAGAAACAGAAAGAGAAAGAAAAUGGCAGAUGUAAAUUUUAUUCGUUUUUACGGUUCAUGGUGCUGGGUUUUGAAAAACCAGUAACAAUCUGAAUACGGUAGCCAUAUUUUUACCAGUGUUUAAGGUCCAUGUUUCACUUGGAGGUGAAGGGAGUCUACUUUGAAUUCUGGAAUAAGAAGGCUGUCACUAUUUCAAUCUUUUAUUCUUUUCCUCUUUCUUCCCUCCUUCUUUCUUUUUUCCUUCCUUUCUUCCAUCCCCUCUCUCCUUCCCUUUCUCCCUUCCUUCCUUUUCCAAAUUAUAUAAUCCCUAAAACAAUUUUUGGCUAAAUCUUUUAAUGUUUUCCCCAUUAUGUACCGCUGUGUGUGUGUGUGUGUAUGUGUGCGUGUGCAGGUUCACCAUUAAGACAACAUCAUUUUCUAAACUGUGUCUGUCCAUUUUAAAUCCUGCCCCUGAGGUUUUUUUUCUUUUUUUUUUAACAGAAAUUUACUUUUUUACUGUUUACCUAUUAAAUCAUUUAAGAUUUUAAAACUGACAGGACAUACCUACUUACGAUAGUUUUUCACAUCUUAAUACUUGAGAAUUUUUUGUUCUUAUUUGUAAUUAGGAAAAAAAAUUAAAAUGUGACUAUAUCACAUUUCCUUGGAAUAAUUAAAAUAACUUUUGGAAAGUGAAAGUGGAAAUAGAACAAACAUAACCUUCUUGACAAUGAGGGAAAAGAAUAGUUCACUCUUAUUUUACUAAAACAAAUUCUUCUUACAGCAUAAGUCUUGUAAAAUAACAGCAAAAUCUGAAUACACAGUGCAAAGACUGGCAAGAAUUGUUUUGUGUUUCUUGAAUCUGGAUUGCAUAAAUAUAAAUUAUGAACUGAUUUGAUACAUAAAAUAGAAAGUUAUCUUGCUUUAAAGAAAUCAUUUAAACCAUUGCUAUUUUCAAAGAAUCUUCCAGUCUACAUUAUAUUAUGACUAUGAAAAUAACUUUACAUAAAAAUAACUUUACAAAAAAAUUGGCCUUUAACAAGAAAAAAAUAUUCAGCAAUUCUAAGUGCAAAGCUAUUAACUGACUGAUAUCUGAUCCCUGACACAGGAUGUCAUUCUUAACCCAGUGCCUGGCUGCUCAGCAUCCUGUGGGAACCGCAGGCUUCUGAAGAUUCCUCUUUACAAAUAACAAUCAGUGCAGAUAGAGGAGACACAAGGAGAGCCAGUUAAAUCUUUCACAUCAUUACCAGCCUCAUUGUUUUGCAAAUCAGGAGCAUAAAGUAGAACACGUGCAUGAAUCCUCUUACAGGUUUCUGAAUGCUAGGGAUUUCAAAUAUGUGAAUCCUGGUGAUUAACAGUAAAUGAAUAAGCCGCAUGACAAAUCAUUACCUUUACCAGCUAAGUGGCUAGUUUAAAUUAAAGAUUACAGGUUAUAGUUUGAAUUCACCAAGAUUUGUCCAUCUAAAAUGAUAAGCCUUUCCUCUAUUCAUAUGUCAGUCCAUCAUUAUUGUGAAGUCUGCCAUAGAUGAUCACUAACUCACUUGAAUAGCUCAAAACAGCAUUUUUAAAAGUAUCCUAUUUAUAGUAGAGAUAUGUAGAAUAAUCCAAAACACUGUCUUCUUCAACAUGCUAACCCUCUCUUGGUAAGAAAUUCUUCUCAGGAUACUUUAAUUUCUGCCACAAAGCCGAGUGCCAUAACAAUAGGAUUAAAAGUGAUUUAGCCGUAUUUUAACGGGCUGCAUUUUUUCCCUUUGUAAUUUGCUUUUACAAAUGUAAUUAUUCAUUUUCUUCAGUAGGUGACUAAGUUGACCAUAUUUCACUUAUAGGUAUUUAAUAUUCUUUUUCUUGUAAUGAUUUUUCAGUACUAUUUUCCACAAAUGUCAAAAUCCUGAGUUGUUUAUUUGAAUCCUGAGUUAUUGCUCUUAUAAUGAGAAACUCUAAUUAUAGAGUGCAGUGAACUAGGCAACAGAGAGCUUGCAUGCCAAAUAUUAUUACUAAUAUCAAGGCAUAUGAACAACACUAGUCACUACUUUAAAAUACAUUGCCUACUUCUCAAUGUUUGGAUAGGGACUGUUGCUUUACUUUUGAGGCAUUUGUAGCAAGCUCUAAAGUAAAAAAUUCCUCAUCCUUAUUUUUACUCUGUUCAAACUGAUCAUUUAUCUCAGUUUAUGCAAAAAACUCACCUGUAGCUCAUUACCCCGUAUUUGCUGAACCCUACACUUUCUCACUCAACUAAAACAGGAGCAUAGAAAGCAGAGCUGGCACUGACCCUCACCCUCAAUUAUUCGUGUGGGCAGUUCAAUGCCACUCUAUUCCCAAACAUAUUUGUUUGGUAUGCAUAUCCAAGCAAUAUUAGCUAAAGGGAGUACACAAAGAAGGACACCAUUUUUUCCCUCCCACUCCCCAUCUGUCGUGGAAAACACACAGGUUUUCCUCCACAGGUUGAAAAGAACCUUAUGUCCUUGGAGGACAGACUUACAGUGCAUUGCAACAACAGUGUGAACCUUCUUCCUACUCCUCAACCCACAGUCCUGUUUUGAAGGCUGCAUUCUGAGAAUAGGCUUCACCAUGAUGCUGUUGGAACAUAAGCUACCAUGUUAAACAAGCAUGGCAUGAGGCUGACUAAUCCUGGUGAACUGUGUGGUUAAAUAGCUGCUCCUUAGAAGCAGUAGUGAUUACAAGCCUUGUCCAGCACUACGAAUCAGAAUGUCUUCCCUCUUCUUUUGAAGCUGUCUGUUAAGAAGAUGUGAGUCUUCACCUCAAAGGGCUCUUGAAACGCUGCUAAUUACAAGGGGAUAAUGAGAACUCACCAAUGGAGACCACCUCAAUUAAACAAAAAUCAGUUUAUAUUGAUACAGCAAUUAAUUAUAUAUGACAGAAUAAUUGAAGAAGUUUUCCUUGUGUAUUCAUAGAGAACCUAAACUUAUAUGAAAUUAAGUAUUAGUUGUGGAGCAUUUAAUGAAGAUUAAAAUGAAUUUCAGCUGUAGACUUUAUACAAAAUUUAAAAAAUAAAUUAAGUGGUAAGAAAAUAAUGCAAGUUUUCUGUGAUGAGUAUUCUUUUAUUCAGAGUUGGAGUGGGGACAAUUUAUAUCUCAAUUUCAUUAGUCUUUUUUAAAAAACAAUGUUAAUGAAGUAUAUGGACCAAUGCUCACUAACACUUUGGACACAUAGAAACCCCAGUGGUUUGUUUGAGUUUGCACAAUAUAAAUUUAUGCAUCCCAAAGAACUUGUAAUACUAAUGGCAUUUAUCAGGUAUUGUUUGUAAAGGAUAUGAAUAAUAAUAAUCCAUCUGCUAUAGUCCCUUUUCAGCAGAGGAAUCAUACAAAUUAAUGUUGGCCUGGAUAUAAUCCAUUUAGGAUGAUUCAUGAGAGUCAUAAAAAUGACCUCUCUCUCUUUUUUUAAUUCCCAAGCAAGUGUUUUUCCAUUAAUUAUUUUUCUACUUCUUUUUGUAAGGUCCACUUUGAGGUUCUUUAAUUCUGUCAAAUGUUUUAUGACUAUUUUGAAAAAAUAUCUAACAUCCACAAGACCACCACCAUCAACAACGAGAAACUUCAUAAAAAUCUAAGCUUAUACUCUGGUAUUUAAAGGAGAAAAAUAUUAAGAGUAUCUGAUGAUGAAUCAAGUAUAACAAUGUAAGAAAAAUGAAAACUAACAUGUACUGAAUGCUUACCAACUAGUUUGAAAACAUUAUUUUCUUUGAUUUUAACAGUGUCUCUUUUGGGGCAGAUAUGUGAAUCAACUUCAUUUCACAACUGAAGAAACAGAAUCCUAGAGAGAAUAGAUAACCAUCCUGUGGCCCCACAUUUAAGAUGUGACGAAGCCAGUACUCAAAUCCUGGUCUGUUUUCAAUCAUACCUACCCUCUUAAUCACUAGGCAAAAUCUUUUUUGUGCAUAGGCUAGUGGAAUGCAAACCUAGAUGAUGAAGUGGUAUAGAAUAACAUUAAUUUAUUAAUCAUGAAAGUCAUCUAUGGACAAUAUUUUUAAUAUCAUUACAAUUAUACACCAGGUACAAUUUAUAUUAGUUCUCAUGCAUAAGCUGAGUGUUUUCCCUCCACAUUUUAAGGGGAGAAUAUUAAACAACUAUUUAAUUAUAUACUUGUAUUUUCUGGUACAUGGCAAAUUAGAACACUAAAUAACAGCUUUGAAGUAUAACAAAAAUUUACACAUUGACAUUCAUGAGUGAGAACUAUAUCAGAUCUUAGAAAAAUUAGAAUAUAUGUAGUUUUGGACAAUAUUCCCAUUAAUAGACACUGUAGACCUCUCUUCAUUUUCUCUUCUGUUAUACACAUUUUCCAUGCUGUUCCGUUGUUCCUUCAUUUUCAAGUUGAUCUAUCACCUCUUUGGCUCUAUUACUGACUUCUGUAUUUAACUUAUUCACUACUAGUGUUAUCACAGUGUAAGUACUAGAAGUAAAGAGAGAAAGACUAGAGUACAUGUAAUUUUUGGUGCCAAAAUAUAGAACCUAUUGUUUCAUAAUGCUUCAGUGAAUUUCUUUUAGGCAAUAAAAGAACCUUCUUACUUUUCCUUAUGAGAUAAAAUUAUAGCAUUGCAAAUAAAGCAAACACUAUGGGUUUAGACCUAUUGGGGUUUAAAUGUUAGUUCAGUCAUUUACUAGGUAUGAACAUUUGAACAAGCAAUUCUUAUGUUCUCAGUUUAUUUCUAAAUUUGUACUGGCAAUACUUAAUACUGAUUUAUGGAUUAAUUUAUUGUUUU
rnacentral:lncRNA from 1 species